GAGGGUAUAGCUCAGUGGUAGAGUGCCUGCUUAAUUAGCAUGCACGAUGUCCUGGAUUCAAUCCCCAGAACCUCCA
rnacentral:tRNA from 1 species